AACGUAGGUCACAAGCGUUGUCCGGAAUUACUGGGUGUAAAGGGAGCGCAGGCGGGAGAACAAGUUGGAAGUGAAAUCCAUGGGCUCAACCCAUGAACUGCUUUCAAAACUGUUUUUCUUGAGUAGUGCAGAGGUAGGCGGAAUUCCCGGUGUAGCGGUGGAAUGCGUAGAUAUCGGGAGGAACACCAGUGGCGAAGGCGGCCUACUGGGCACCAACUGACGCUGAGGCUCGAAAGUGUGGGUAGCAAACAGGAUUAGAUACUCUGGUAGUCCACACCGUAAACGAUGAUUACUAGGUGUUGGAGGAUUGACCCCUUCAGUGCCGCAGUUAACACAAUAAGUAAUCCACCUGGGGAGUACGACCGCAAGGUUGAA
rnacentral:rRNA from 1 species